UACGUAGGGUGCAAGCGUUGUCCGGAAUUACUGGGCGUAAAGGGCUCGUAGGCGGCCAACUAAGUCAGACGUGAAAUCCCUCGGCUUAACCGGGGAACUGCGUCUGAUACUGGAUGGCUCGAGUUUGGGAGAGGGAUGCGGAAUUCCAGGUGUAGCGGUGAAAUGCGCAGAUAUCGGGAAGAACACCCGUGGCGAAGGCGGCUCUCUGGGACGGUACUGACGCUGAGACGCGAAAGCGUGGGGAGCAAACAGG
rnacentral:rRNA from 1 species